ACGAACGCUGGCGGCGUGCUUAACACAUGCAAGUCGAACGGUGAAGCGCCUUCCUUUUUGGUGGGUGUGGAUGAGUGGCGAACGGGUGAGUAACACGUGAGUAACCUGCCCCCUUCUUCUGGAUAACCGCAUGAAAGUGUGGCUAAUACGGGAUAUUCUGGGUCUGUCGCAUGAUGGGUCUGGGAAAGAUAUUGUUUCGGUGGGGGAUGGGCUCGCGGCCUAUCAGCUUGUUGGUGGGGUGAUGGCCUACCAAGGCGGUGACGGGUAGCCGGCCUGAGAGGGGGGGCGGUCUGAGUGGGAGACUGAGCCGGGCCACAGACCGCGGGGGGGCGGAGGUGGGGAGAAUAGUGCAAAGGGGGCAUGAGGGAGGCGCCGCGCCCGCGGGAGGGAGGGGGGCCGUUGGGGUGUGUGCCCUUUUGGGGAGUGAAACAGGCCUGCGCCUUUUUUGGGGGUGGGGAGGGGAUUGGGGUAAAAACCGCCGCGUAAAUAGGG
rnacentral:rRNA from 1 species